UUAUUACUCCCUCCGUUUCAUAUUAAGUGACUUUUUAUUACAUGUAUCUAGACGCUUUUUACCUAUAAAUACAUUCAUAUUUAAGCAAAUUUGAGUCAUUUAAUAUGAGAUGGAGGAAGUAUAAU
rnacentral:pre_miRNA from 1 species